AAGCGUCCAGUCGUCUACGCGAGCGACGCUCUCACCUCUGUGAGACUGCGACCAGUCAACCCAUCCUCUCUACGGGAACCCUACCCUAAGCAGCUAAGCGCGACGGCGGCGGCUGGUCAGGUCGCAGGACCAGGCGGGGCAGCUGAUGGCGGCGGCUGGUCAGGUCGCAGCUCGCAGGACCAGGCGGGGCAGCCGACGAAGGGGCAGCCAGCGGCGGCGGUGGCUUAGUCAGUUCGCCGGACGCCAGGACGAGGCGGGACUGGCGGGCAGCUGUGGCAGGGCAGCCGGGCAGCCGCGACAGGGCAGGGCACGCGACGGCAAGCGGCAAGGCCUAGGCACUCCUAGCAGCAGCAGCAAUAGCGCAAGCUCCGGCCAGAUUGCGAGAAGCUGGAAAGAAAGGGCAAGGGAAUAGCAAAUCCAAAGGAAAGGGGAGGAGGUACAUAUAUGAAGUACAUCUGUAACCCCUAUAUAUACUGAGGAGAGGGUGUGGUCUGCCAUUGCCUCAGAUUGCCUCUAGAACUAUCUCUUAAUCUCGUAUACAGUUCUU